GACACACUCAGGCACAUAACAUAAAAAGGAAGAGUACCUUGGAGUUGUUAUUGACACCAAUAUUAGACACUCAAAUGGGGACAAUGUUGAGGAGGAAAAAAGAAUAGAUUUUUAUAGCAUUUUGAUGACUUCACUCCAACUCAUCUCUUGAAAAUAAUAAAAUCAUAAACAACAACAUUAUUGAAGACCAAGGAUUGAUUAACAACAGAAU
rnacentral:lncRNA from 1 species